UACGAAGGGUGCAAACGUUGCUCGGAAUUAUUGGGCGUAAAGCGCACGUAGGCGGCUUAGCAAGUCGGAAGUGAAAUCCCUCGGCUCAACCAAGGAAGUGCUUUCGAAACUGCUGAGCUUGAGUACUAAAGAGGAUCGCGGAAUUCCCGGUGUAGAGGUGAAAUUCGUAGAUAUCGAGAGGAACACCGGUGGCGAAGGCGGCCAACUGGACGAAUACUGACGCUGAGACUCGAAAGCGUGGGGAGCAAACAGG
rnacentral:rRNA from 1 species